rnacentral:lncRNA from 1 species
CGGCUAAAAGAGAAGAAGAAUAAGAAAAAUGUAUAAAGCACGAAAAGUGGGGAGUAGUUAGAAAAUCCCUCUUCUAUGGUCAACGAUGGACAUUUAUAUAGGCAGGGUCACCAUCAUUUGGCCUUAGACCUUGGCACGUGCCUGUAGUUGGUCUUGCCUUGGUUGGCCACUUAGGGAGAAUGAUAGCUUUUUAUUAAUGUGAUUGUCAUUCAUCAAACGACGCCUCUUGUGUGAUCUUUGUCAGACCUGUUCAUAGGUCGGGUUUUUUUUUCAAGUAUGAAAGUUUACUCGAAAUUUGAAAAAAAAUAUUAGGUCUGAAAAAUGAGUUUGAGAAAAAAAAAAGGCUCAUUUAAAAUAUGGGUUGGGCUUAGGCUUGAACAUUCAAGACUCGAGCUAAGACGUUUUAAGUUUAUAAUACUUUAUAUUAUGUUAUAUAUAUAUUAUGUAAUUUAGAACACAUUAAAAAAAUAAAUCUAUACUAAAUAUAUAAUAUUACUCUAAUGUUUUGUUAAAAAAAAAUAUUAAUCUAAUAUAAACAUUAAAAUAAUAUUAAGAUGACUAUAUAAAAAAGUUCAAUAAAAAAUGUAUAAAAUUAUUAAAUAUUAAAAUAAAAUAAAAUAAAUAUAUUUUUUUUAAAAUUAAAAAAAUAAUAUGGGCGGAUCUAAAAUGGACUUGGGUUAGUUUUUGCAAAUAUGAGCAGGUUUGGGCAAAAUUUUAGGCCGAAUUUUGGGCGGAGCUAAGCUUGGGCAAGCAUAAAAUAUAUUAAUAUCAUACUUAGGCCGGACCCAACUUGGCCCAUAAGCACCUCUAAUCCAUGCAAAGAAGAAUCCAACACCUGUUCUUGGCAAGGUAGAUUCAUGGUGCUCCAUGUGUUGCGUAUGUGCAUGUCUGCAAGGUCCAUAGUUGACGAAGUGUUGCCCAUCGGCAAAAUCGUAGCCUAGAAAGUUGUAAUUGGUCAAAAUGAGAGUAACGAGGUCCAUUCUGACAAUACUAAUAACAAACAUAAUUAAUAAAAAAAGAAGAAGAAGAAGAAGAAGUAAUAUAUUUAUUGUGGGAUAAAAUAUGAUGUAUCGUCAAUACAUAAAUUUUAUGCACCAUCAACAAAUUACAUUAAGCCACCUCAUCAAUAAGUAAAAUAGAAUAAAUAUUUUGAGUAUUUAUAAAUAAUUAUAUGAUUAAAAAUAUUAAUUUUUCAUCUUCUACUCAAGGUAUCGAGAUAGAAAAUUUCAGUAAAAUCCCAAAAAGAAAAAUUAUACUAAAUUCAAGUGAUGGUUGAAAGGUUUUUUUUAUUGGUAGGAAUUUAUUUUCUUAAAGUUUAUACAUGUUGGAAAAAUGUUUUUGAUAAAAAAGAUUUUCAAUAAGCAAACGGUUUAUACGUAAUCAAUAAUUUCUAGAUUUAAACUUGUUUAUAAGGCUCCAUCGGUAUAAAUUGUAAUUAGUUAUUUCUAUUGACCUUUUUCAAUAAAGUUUUUUAACAUUUGUGUUGAUUUACAAGAAAGGAAAGAGGAUGAGAAAAAUAAUAAUUUUAAUUAUAUUUAAAUACCCUCAAAUAUUUAUUUUAUUUUAUUUUAUUUAUUGACGAAGUGGGUUAAUAUAGUUUAUUGUUGGUGCAUAGAAUCUUAUCCCAUUUAGUAUUGAUAAUGUAUAAAACAAAAUUUGUAGUAAAGGCUUAUUAGAACCGACAACAUGAUACUUACUAUUUACUUAAACGAAUUAGGUAAUGCUAAGUUGAUGGAAUUUAUAAGAUACCUCAUUGUCAUCAUGUAGUAAUAAGGUGAAUCUGAUAGCGCAUGGAAAUAAAGAUAAAUACUGGAGUGAUAAAAUAGAAAAUAAAGAAUUGAAAAUUUACUUGUAAGAUCUGUCCGAUUCGAGAUGGACCGCUCUCCCAAAUAAUACUUUUCAAUAAA